rnacentral:sRNA from 1 species
GGGAGUGGCUAGGCCUGAAGGACGUGGGGACACGGGCCAGAGUGGCUGGCCCCACGCACGGACAGGAGUGAACCUGAGCUGUGCCGACCAACCCCCAGGAUGGCGGAAGCUCACCAGGCCGUGGCCUUCCAGUUCACGGUGACCCCAGACGGGGUCGACUUCCGGCUCAGUCGGGAGGCCCUGAAACACGUCUACCUGUCUGGGAUCAACUCCUGGAAGAAACGCCUGAUCCGCAUCAAGAAUGGCAUCCUCAGGGGCGUGUACCCUGGCAGCCCCACCAGCUGGCUGGUCGUCAUCAUGGCAACAGUGGGUUCCUCCUUCUGCAACGUGGACGUCUCCUUGGGGCUGGUGUGGCCCCUACCAGACCCCGCAGACCCGGGCACUUCUCAGCAUGGCCAUCUUCUCCACGGGCGUCUGGGUGACGGGCAUCUUCUUCUUCCGCCAAACCCUGAAGCUGCUUCUCUGCUACCAUGGGUGGAUGUUUGAGAUGCAUGGCAAGACCAGCAACUUGACCAGGAUCUGGGCUGUGAGCAGCAGCCAGUGGAGGGGUUCAGGCACCUGGGUUGAGACUCUUUGGACUCCUUUGGGGUUCUGAGCUAGAGGGGAGAGGCAGACAGGGCACUGGUGCCUGGUGUGUGGUUUGUCCUGGAGGGGCUGGGAUGGCUCUGAGGGUCUCAGGGAGUUGCUGGUUGGUUUCCAUUUUUUCCACUGGCUCCCACCCCAGCACUCUGCUCUGUACCCCCAGAUGUGUAUCCGC